UACGUAGGGUGCGAGCGUUAAUCGGAAUUACUGGGCGUAAAGCGUGCGCAGGCGGUUAUGCAAGGCAGAUGUGAAAUCCCCGGGCUCAACCUGGGAACUGCAUUUGUGACUGCAUGGCUAGAGUACGGUAGAGGGGGAUGGAAUUCCGCGUGUAGCAGUGAAAUGCGUAGAUAUGCGGAGGAACACCGAUGGCGAAGGCAAUCCCCUGGACCUGUACUGACGCUCAUGCACGAAAGCGUGGGGAGCAAACAGG
rnacentral:rRNA from 1 species